CACCAGUUCCUGUAACAAAACGUGAAAUGAUUCGCAUAGACUACCAGCAGGACAGAGGUUAACAGCAUAAUUGUCAGUGUUUGAUAAAGUAUUAUAUUUAAAGGGUUUUGGUAGUCUCUGCCAUUAGCAAUCACAACAAUAGCUCCAACAAGCUGCAGAAAGAUGAUGGACUUUGUGGCUGGAUGCAUAGGAGGUGCUGCUGGAGUCUUGGUUGGACACCCGUUUGACACAGUAAAAAUCAGGCUGCAGGUCCAGAAGUUCGAUAAUCCGCUUUAUCGUGGAACGUUCCACUGUUUCAAGUCUAUCAUCAGACAGGAGUCGGCGUUUGGUUUAUGUAAAGGCAUUGGAUCUCCCAUGAUAGGCCUGACAUUCAUCAGUGGAAUCGUGUUUGGUGUCCAGGGCAACGCCAUGCGUCUGCUUGGAGAGGACACCCCUACACACCAAUUUAUCACUGGUGCUGCUGCAGGAACCAUGCAGUCCGUCAUCUGCUGCCCCAUGGAGCUAGCGAAAACCCGUAUGCAAAUGCAGGGCACCGGGCAGAAGAAGUGGUCUUCUAAGAAUCUGUACAAGAACUCCCUGGAUUGUUUGUUGCACAUCUACAGACGAGAGGGUCUGCCGGGCAUCUACAGAGGAAUGGUCACCACGCUCGUCCGUGAAGCGCCUGGCUUCGGCGUGUAUUUCUGGACCUACGCUGUGCUGACACAGAGCCUGGGCUGUGAGCCCAGCGACACCUACAUGAUCCCCAAACUGCUGUUUUCCGGCGGCAUGGCUGGCAUCACCUCUUGGAUCGUCAUCUAUCCAGUAGAUGUGAUCAAAUCUCGGCUGCAGGCGGACGGGGUGGGCGGAGUCAACCAGUACAGCAGCAUCGCAGAUUGCGUACGACAGAGCGUGAGGAAGGAGGGUUAUAUGGUGUUCACGCGAGGCCUCACCUCCACGGUGCUACGAGCCUUCCCUAUGAACGCGGCCACCUUCGCCACCGUCAGUCUGGUGCUGAUGUACGCCCGCGGUGAGGAGGAGGGCCCUGAAGACUGAGCCGGCUCAUCCCGACCAACACACGCACUAUUCCAGGGUGUAACUGCAGAGGUCAAACCUUCAGCCAGGACACCUUAAAGCGAUCUACUGGAAAGGGAAGAGGCCUCAUCGUAAAGACUAAAGCUGAACUUGAAGGCAAUGCAAUUGCAGUUAAAACCACAUAUUUAGAUAAACCAAAUAAAAAGACAAACAUUGUUUUCUCACUGUCUGAAAUUACAUCUUCAGAAGUAAUUAUCUGAAGUAAUUAAGAACAUAAUUAAUCUGAUGAAUAGUUAAGUAUUUACCACAUCAUACAGUGGUUAGCUAUUAAACGACAACUACUACAAAUCAAAUGUUAACAAACCAAUGUGGCGAGAUUACGUUUAUCCAUUUCAUGGAACCGACACAAGAGAUUCACGAUGUGCAUCUUGUCUAGUAAUCGAGUCACGUGUACACUGAACCUCCAUCAGUAACCUUGUCUGAUUUGCUGUUACUUAACAGAAGGUGUUCUGACUACCUGUGAGUCAAGAUGUUUCUAAAUCAUUUGCGCUUCUCAAUGGUAUGUUGCGGUUACGCUUGGAUGGUGCAUUCAAGUUAGCUCGUACAUUUUAUAUCCAAAUUGAAUUAACCCCAAAAAUCGAAUAAACUGCUAUUUAAAUUGAUAUAACCGAUCAUUUCAAAAUUUAAAUAGUUUUUCUUAAAUGAUUCAACCUGACCAGACCCACAAAUGUCAACACAUCCCUAAAAAUAUGGAUGUAGGCAUUUUGAAUUCAGUUUGUUUGUGUUGCUACUGAAUAGUAAUUGACCAGAUGCAGUCUUAACGGGAUUGAAUAUAAAUUACAUUUUGAUUAACCUGAUAUAUUUCUCUCAUAAACAUGAUUGCAACAUUUGUUGAAAUUUCCAGAAAUAAUAAGUGUCUCGGUUAAGUCUGUCUGUCUGUCUAUAGAAAAUCUUAGAAGUAUUCCAUAAUACUUUCGCAUGUGAAUGCACCAUAUAGUGUUCUACAAGGUACUUUACGGUGGCACGUUUCCAUAAAACACCGUGUAGAAGCGCAAUAGUGUGACAGCAACCGGUGCGGAAACAUGUUUUCACAUUAGAACUUACUACGAUACAACACCAUGAGGAUUGUGAAACUUAUUUUUCUCUCCAUAUAAAUGUUGCACAAUCUUUGUCAUUCGAGCAAGAGAUUUGUAAAAUAAAUAAAGUGUUCCAAAUUUAUUAGUCACCCCAAACCAAAUUGGGCAUCACUAGACCACAUCCUUUAGAUUAGACGUGCGAGCCAAUAGAUGACAAGUAAUACGCCUCGAGCGAGGGGUCGGCGUUUUCUCUUCGCUCUGAUUGGACAGAAACUUUAGCCCGUGUAAUAAGAUCCGCCCCUCUGGAGUUACCGCUUCCUGUAACAAAAUCUCUGUAACUGAAACGAUUCGCGUCGGCUACCAGCAGCACAGCUGUUUUUAGAGGCCGUACAGGUCAUCUAGUGGGCUUUAUCUGAGAAAACAGAGGACAAGAGAUCAGAAAACGUAGCUAUUUUUUGCGUCCGUAACCCAUUAAAGUGACUCCUUAACCAGCACGCCGGUUCUGUUGGCUAACUGGCGGUGUCAGCUAACGUUGGUUCAUUAGCUUUAAUAAACAUCCAGAUAUCAGUACAGUAAGUUUAACAGAAUAGUUGUCAGUGUUUGAUUAAAGCAUUAUAUUUAAAGGUUUUUUUUUGGUAGUUUAUGCCAUUAGCAAUAACUGACAAUAACGUCCUCAACAAGCUGCAGAAAGAUGAUGGACUUCGUGGCUGGAUGCGUAGGAGGUAAGUUACUACAGCUGGGAUCCAUCCUGUGGGCUGUCAGCUGCUCCUGAUGGAAAAGCGGGUUGAAACCACUGAUUAUAUUCAUUAAGUUAACAGUAAAGUUACGGGGUCGAGUAAAUUUUGUUUUAUAUGACUGCUAUCUGUGUCAUGAAGUGCUUUAUGUCCAUGGAUUGAUAAUUAUUUGCUGUUUUAAUGGUCAAAGAUGAAAUUAAACUCUUGGAUAAAUGCACUUGGUGGACAUUUUUCUUAAAGUGACAGACAAAGCACCAUCCUCCUCUUCAUCAAGUUCAGGUCAAUGUCCAUUCAUCAGUGUAUCCAAAUGAAAGAAAUUUGUGUGUCCUGUUCCUAGUUUACUGAAGAGACCCAACUCUGACAGGCUUUCCUCUACAAAUGUGUCAUGUGACAAAACAGGUGAUAAUGUAGGAUUAACUGGUGUUUAUUUACAGUGCGAGUCAUGAGUGAGUCUGCCAAAGAGUUGUGGUGCAUAUAAACAGAAAAUAAUACACGAAAAAUGACAAUUAGGAGACCAUAGUUUAGAUUGUGUACUGGAGUAUUUAAUAUUUGAUUUUAAUAAUUUGAGGCAUUAUGUUGAUAUAUAAAGAGGCACUUCUUGUUUCAUAUUCAUCGAUGUUUGAUACAAUUUGUCACUAAUAGUACUGUAUAAAAGUACUUGCUGUAUGAGUACAGUUUUCUGUAGCUUCAAGCCUUUCAUUUUGCCUUAAAAGUAUUUUUAAAGGGGGAAGUAAUUAAAUUUUUGUUUCAUAUGUGUGAAAAUUGAAACUGAAAAACAUAUAACCAAAAAAA